GCACAAGCGGUGGAUGAUGUGGAUUAAUUCGAUGCAACGCGAAAACCUUACCUACCCUUGACAUGUCCGGAAUCCCGAAGAGAUUUGGGAGUGCUCGCAAGAGAACCGGAACACAGGUGCUGCAUGGCUGUCGUCAGCUCGUGUCGUGAGAUGUUGGGUUAAGUCCCGCAACGAGCGCAACCCUUGUCAUUAGUUGCCAUCAUUUGGUUGGGCACUCUAAUGAGACUGCCGGUGACAAACCGGAGGAAGGUGGGGAUGACGUCAAGUCCUCAUGGCCCUUAUGGGUAGGGCUUCACACGUCAUACAAUGGUCGGUACAGAGGGUUGCCAACCCGCGAGGGGGAGCUAAUCCCACAAAGCCGAUCGUAGUCCGGAUCGCAGUCUGCAACUUGACUACGUGAAGUCGGAAUCGCUAGUAAUCGUGGAUCAGAAUGUCGCGGUGAAUACGUUCCCGGGUCUU
rnacentral:rRNA from 1 species